UACGUAGGGUGCAAGCGUUGUCCGGAAUUAUUGGGCGUAAAGAGCUCGUAGGCGGUCUGUCGCGUCUGCUGUGAAAAUCCAGGGCUCAACCCUGGACCUGCAGUGGGUACGGGCAGACUAGAGUGCGGUAGGGGAGAUCGGAAUUCCUGGUGUAGCGGUGAAAUGCGCAGAUAUCAGGAGGAACACCAGCGGCGAAGGCGGCGCUCUGGGCCGGAACUGACGCUGAGGAGCGAAAGCGUGGGGAGCGAACAGG
rnacentral:rRNA from 1 species